rnacentral:rRNA from 1 species
GACGAACGCUGGCGGCGUGCUUAACACAUGCAAGUCGAACGCUGAAGCUUGGUGCUUGCACUGUGUGGAUGAGUGGCGAACGGGUGAGUAAUACGUGAGUAACCUGCCCUUGACUCUGGGAUAAGCCUGGGAAACUGGGUCUAAUACUGGAUAUGACAUGCCACUGCAUGGUGGUGUGUGGAAAGGGUUUUACUGGUUUUGGAUGGGCUCACGGCCUAUCAGCUUGUUGGUGGGGUAAUGGCCUACCAAGGCGACGACGGGUAGCCGGCCUGAGAGGGUGACCGGCCACACUGGGACUGAGACACGGCCCAGACUCCUACGGGAGGCAGCAGUGGGGAAUAUUGCACAAUGGGCGGAAGCCUGAUGCAGCGACGCCGCGUGAGGGAUGACGGCCUUCGGGUUGUAAACCUCUUUCAGCACGGAAGAAGCGAGAGUGACGGUACGUGCAGAAGAAGCGCCGGCUAACUACGUG